UUCUGCGUGGUACACGGUCCUCCCACACGCCCCGCACUUGUUGCCUCCUCCCCACACGGGCAUUCUGCAGGAAAAAGGACUCAUUAGAAUGUCCCCACACCAGAUGAGAUGCCUGCCAGGCUCCCGGGAGGGCUGUUUAAACCCCGGGGCCAGCUGAGGAUUUUGUUUCUUUAAUAACUGCUCUAACCACAUCUUGAAAGCCCUGCCUUCCUCCAAGCUCGCCUCAUCUCAUCUUCCAAAUUGCAGCUCUUUCCUUAGCAAACUCUGGCUUGUCGCGCACAAGUUGUUUUCUCCCUACAGGACAAAGGACCUGCAUUCAGUAGAACAGUGCAGGUGGCCAGGCACAAAACAAAACUACGCCAUCAGAAGCGUGGGAGUUGAGAAAGAAGUGUGGGAGUGGAAAGGCAAACACCGCCGCCCCCGCGCCCGCGUCUCAAGGAUGGGUUCCGAAACCUCAGCUGAAGAACACGCGCUCAGGCCUGCCAGUCCAUCCAGAAUAUGCUACCAAGUUCCCUUCCUGGUGAACUGAACUGUCGUUUGCGCACGUCUGCAGUGUGGCCCGACACUGGGGCAAAGACACCACCCAGAAUUUCAUAAGACUUACCCCUGGGAGAAAAUCACGGUCGUCUAAAUCUGAGUCACCUCGUGGUAAAGUUACCUCAUUCUCCAGAUCGCCAGCAAGAGCUGCAAAGUGGCCACACUGGACCAUUCUCGCACUACCUGUUCUGCAUUUACCAUCUUCUUUUAGAUUCUGAAUGUCUUGAAUCCAUGAAUCUAGACUCUACAUGUCACCACUCACAGUUUCAGUCACUCACUCGGAUACCAAAGGUUUGGAAUGAAUCCGUCUAUAAACACAGAUUCUAAAUA